CCUACGGGAGGCAGCAGUGAGGAAUAUUGGUCAAUGGACGAGAGUCUGAACCAGCCAAGUAGCGUGAAGGAUGACUGCCCUAUGGGUUGUAAACUUCUUUUAUAUGGGAAUAAAACGUUCCACGUGUGGGAUUUUGUAUGUACCAUAUGAAUAAGGAUCGGCUAACUCCGUGCCAGCAGCCGCGGUAAUACGGAGGAUCCGAGCGUUAUCCGGAUUUAUUGGGUUUAAAGGGGGCGUAGGUGGAUUGUUAAGUCAGUUGUGAAAGUUUGCGGCUCAACCGUAAAAUUGCAGUUGAAACUGGCAGUCUUGAGUACAGUAGAGGUGGGCGGAAUUCGUGGUGUAGCGGUGAAAUGCUUAGAUAUCACGAAGAACUCCGAUUGCGAAGGCAGUUCACUGGACUGCAACUGACACUGAGGCUCGAAAGUGUGGGUAUCAAACAGGAUUAGAUACCCGAGUAGUC
rnacentral:rRNA from 1 species